CCUCCUUGUGUCCUCCUUUUUGCCUUUUGGCCCAUGGGCGCACGCCUGCUCCAGCUAUUCCGCGUGUGGGAUGAAGGCCCUCGGGUUGUAAACCACUUUUGUAGAGAACGAAAAGACACCUUGUAAUAAAGGGUGUUGCUGACGGUACUCUAAGAAUAAGCACCGGCUAACUACGUGCCAGCAGCCGCGGUAAUACGUAGGGUGCGAGCGUUAAUCGGAAUUACUGGGCGUAAAGGGUGCGCAGGCGGUUGAGUAAGACAGAUGUGAAAUCCCCGAGCUUAACUCGGGAAUGGCAUAUGUGACUGCUCGACUAGAGUGUGUCAGAGGGAGGUGGAAUUCCACGUGUAGCAGUGAAAUGCGUAGAUAUGUGGAAGAACACCGAUGGCGAAGGCAGCCUCCUGGGACAUAACUGACGCUCAGGCACGAAAGCGUGGGGAGCAAACAGGAUUAGAUACCCGAGUAGUC
rnacentral:rRNA from 1 species